rnacentral:tRNA from 1 species
GUGGGGUUGUGGCUCAGUGGUAGAGCGCUCGCCUAGCACGUGUGAAGCCCUGGGUUCGAGUCUCAGCACCACA